UGAGUUUUUGUUCUUGUUUUUGGAGGAUUUCCAAAACAAGGAAAGGUUGAUCCGAACCUGAAAUCGGAGUGUUUUGGGUUUACUUGUACCCGAAAAAUAAGUGAUCUAGCUUGGGAUAGCUAGUGUCGGAGUUUCCGACGUUUUGUAUUCGGGUUGAAUACAAAGGAUAGUGGAUUGAAAUUCCCAAGUAGAAUCUUGGGGUGUGGAUGUAGGUGCAAGGUUAGCACCGAACCACUAUAAAUUCUUGUGUUUGUGGUGUGCUUUAUUGCUUUAUCUUAUUUCUUUAUUAUAUCCUUGCAAUACUGCUUUAGGUAAUUAAUAUUGAUUUAAAGUCUUAGUUUUGUUCUUCAUAAGUAAUCAGUUGGGCUUAAAAUUUUUAGAA
rnacentral:lncRNA from 1 species